rnacentral:rRNA from 1 species
AUGCUCAACUGGAACGCACGUGGCCUCAACGACAAAGCUCGUCGAGGUGGUGUGCGCUCGCUCGUGGCCCAAACCAGAUGUGCAUUGCUGUGUAUCCAGGAAACCAAGAAGGCCGCUUUCUCGCCGCCGGAGUUGCUUGAAACAGCCGGGCCGGAGCUCACGGCGCACGCCAUCCUGCCUGCGGACGGCACGCGGGGUGGCAUCCUUUUAGCCUGGAACCCGUCGGUCUUUCACCUCGACUCCGUCUCCGUCUCGGAGUUCGCCAUCACUGCCCGCGUCUCGCCGCUUGCGGGUGGACAGCCCUGA